UACAAGGCUCCUGAUAUAUUGUUACGAUAGCAGUUGAAAAAUACAUAGGCACAAUUUUUUUUACAAGCACUUAAGCCAAUGGUUCGUAUGACUUCAAUAAGUAGGUAGAGUGCUUUGACCCAUUUUCAUGAACGCUUAAAUGUUCUAUUGCAAUAUUGUCCAAUAUUUAACCACAGACGUGCCCUAACGCUAACGGCCUAGUCCUGACGCCCUGCAGUAGUCCCUAGAUAAGUAUACACGCUGAAUAAAUAUUUGACUAAAUUUUCCCUGCAGUACAAAUAAUUGUACAAAGUAUAAUCUGGCCACGUCUCGAAUACUGUAAUAUUACUAACCUUUUAACCUUUUAACUAAUAUACUAGCCGUAUAUCGUACCUCUCAGUAGUGCAUGAGCACCAGCCACAGAGUGCACGAGCACCAGUCAUCUCGUCAACAACCCCUCUCGAGUGCAUGAGCACCAGACGGCAAACAGCAUCCAAACCACAACUUUUCUACACCGAAUUCUACGAGCUGCAACUGGACUCCUUGUGUUGAGCAAUAAUCAGUGCGUGUUCGUUAUUUCGAGUUGUUUAAUUUUAAAUAUUAUUUCGUGUCACCUAAAACUGAUGCAGCAUAGCCCAGGGACGGCUGCGAGUCAGAUUCUGGCCACAACAAUUGGCAUUGCGUAGCAAUGAAAAACGAUAAACACUACACAGCACAGUCGUACAGAUUAUAUAAUUAAAAUCAAUAUACAAGUGGAAUAUAAUUUCGUUUAGCAUUUUUCGGACAGUCAAUUAAUGCAACAUUUUCAAAAUCUAUUAUAUAAGACAGUGAAAACGUAUAACUUACAAACACCAUCAUAUAAUACUUGUGCACUAUUUGUGAUGACGUCAGGUCGUAUAGUUUGCUUAAUACCGUUCGGCCGGAGUUUUGCUAGGACUUUUACAUAUAUAUGUAUAUGUAUAUAUUAUAGGUGAUAUGUACAGGCAGCCCAAUAAAGACGUGACCAAACGUUAUAUACUAAUAUAGAAUGAAGAUAUAUGACAAUUUAAGAACAAAGCGACCUAAAGUUUUACAUUUCUAAUAUUUGGUCGAUGUUUGCACUUUGCUGUACGGUCUGUAUACAUAAUAUGUUUGUAGGUUCAACUUAUUGUCUAACGGGUCUUCAUAUCAACGCACCAAACGUAUAUGGUAUAUGCACUAUUUGCAUGGAAUCAGAAGUCAAAACGUCAGGUCGUAUAUAGUUCGCUUAGUACCGUCCGAACGAAGUCUUGCUAGGACUUUUACUUUUGUGUAUAAGAUACCUACAUUUAUAGUAGGUAUAUUAUAGCUUAUAAUAGGUACUAUGUAUAGCCGCGUAUAGAACCACCAAUAAAGACAUGACUGAACGUUAUACAAAUAUAUUAAUAUGGACGCAAUAUGAAAUUAAACAACAACGUGACUUAAAGUUUUUACAGUUUCAAAUAUUCGGUCUUGACUGGACGGCAGCGGACUCCUUUAACAUAGUUUUGUAUGUUCAAUAGUACAAGCAGGUCUUCGUGUCAACGCAUUAUAGAUACGUAUAAUACGUAAUAUUCGUCUGCAGGACGUCAGGUCGUAUUAUACUUUGUUACCUGACCAUAGUUUUGCUAGGACUUUCACUUUUGUGUACAUGCAAUAUAGUAUAUACUAUAUAAUAUUAUUAUAUUAUACAUUUACAGGAUUCCCAAUAAGUGCAUGGUCAAAUGUUAUACAAAAUAUAGAACAAAGAUAUUAUACGAUAAGUUAUCAUUGAUAACUGAAGGACGACAUGACUUAAAGCUUUAAGCCUUUAAAUUUCUAAUAUUUGGUUGAUGUUUACCGGACUUCCUGUACACAUGUUUGUAGGUUCAACUUAUACUGUCUGACGGGUCUUCAUAAAGCGUACCAAACGUAUAUACUAUUUUCAAGGAGUCAGAAGUCAGAACGUCGCAGGUCGUAUUAUAUAGUUUGCUUAGUAUCGCCCGGCCGAAGUUUGGCUACCUCUUCCACUUUUGUGUAUACAUUUAUGAUUUAUAGUAUAUUAUAUCUUAUAAUAUUAUGUAUAGUACCACCAAUAAAUAUAUGACUGGACGUUAUACAAAUAUAAUGCGUAUAUAUAUGAAUAUAUUAUGACAAUUAAAGAGCAACGUGACUUAAAGUUUCUACGAUUUCAAAUAUUCGAUAUUAAUUCCUCUGUCUUGACUGGACCACGGACUCCUUUCACAUACCUAAUUUUGUAUGUUCAACAGUGCAAGCAGGACUUUGUGUCAACGCAUUAUACAUAUUAUAUGUAAUAUUCGUCUGCAGGACGUCAGAUAAUAUAUGUACGCAGGAUGCCCCAAUAAAGACAUGACAAAACGUUAAACUAUUAGAAUGAAGAUAUAUUAUUUUGAUAAUUAAAGAACAACGUGACUAAAGUUUUACAUUUCUAAUAUUUGGUUGAUGUUUACUGGACGUCCUGUAUUAAUAUGUUUGUAGGUUCAAUAAUACUUACUGUCUGACGGAUCUUCAUAUCAACGCACCAAAAGUAUGCACUAUUUGCAAAGAGUCAGAAGUCAGAACGUCAGGUCGUAUUCGUAUAGUUUGCUUAGUACCGUCCGAGCGAAGUUUUGCUAGGACUUUUACUUUUGUAUAUACAUAUAUAUAUAUAGAUAGGUACAGAUAUAUUAUAGGUAAUAUGUACAGGCCGACCAAUAAAGAAGAGACCAAACGUUAUAUCUACUAUAAGAAAUAAGAAUGAAGAUAUAUUAUGAUAAUUUAAGAACAAAGCGACCUAAAGUUUUACAUUUCUAAUAUUUGGUUGAUGUUUACUGGACGUCCUGUAUGUAAUAUGUUUGUAGGUUCAACUUAAUGUCUAACGGGUCUUCGUAUCACGGGAUGCACUAUUUGCAUGGAAUCAGAAGUCAAAACGUCAGGUCGUAUAUAGUUCGCUUAGUACCGUCCGAACGAAGUCUUGCUAGGACUUUUACUUUUGUGUAUACAUUUAUAGUAUAUUAUAUUUUAUAAUAUGUAUAGGACCACCAAUAAAGACAUGACUAAACGUUGUACAAACUUAAUGUGGAUAUAUGGACAUAUGGUCAAACGUUAUACAAAAUAUAGAACAAAGAUAUCAAUAUAUUAUGAUAACUAAAGCACAGCGUGACUUAAAGUUUUAAAUUUUUAAUAUUUGGUCGAUUGUUGGUUUUUAUUGGACGCCCUGUACAAUUUUUAGCAGGAUAUGAAUAUCGAGUUUGUGGUUCACUGCCUUCCACUACACUUAUAUUAUGCACUUAUAGUCUAUAGUCGCGUGUGCCGUAUAUGCGUAUCUAUAAUAUUAUAUCAAAUAUAUGGUUUGAUGGACAACGGAAGCCCGAAUUACUUACGUAACAUGUGUUUCCCGGAGCGCCCGUCUCAUCUCAGCUUCCUACAACAGUUGUCAGACGCGCGGACUAUAGUUGGAAGUCCUUCGGGCUUCCGGUAAAUGAUUUAAUCACACUAAUGUUUCAAUUUACAUACGAGUAAAUCUUUGUUUUAUUUUGUUUUGGGGUAUUACGAUUGUUGUCGUUAUUGGACAUUGUGAAAAUGGGGCCUAUACUCGCUGCAAUGAUCGGAGUGGAGUGGAGUCGAUGGCCGUUGAAACGAAGAAGAAUAGGUAUAACAAAAUAAUCUAUAUAGUUUUGAGCACAUCGUUCCAGCGACCAGCAGUGUGGAUAAACUUUCAUAACCUUACAAAUGUAUUAAUUUGAUGGAAAUAAAGACAUUUUUUGAGUUAAUUAUUAUUGACAUUUUAUAACUUGUACUCAAUGACGAGGUAGGUAGGUACACUCGAUGUCUCGACAAGUACGGUUUAGUACGCCAGAGACGACUCUGUACCAAAAAACGCCGGUUUUUAAACAAAACUUUUUAAAAAUCUAUUGGGACCGAAACAUAAUUUUUUUUAGGAACCUCGUAACCUACCUAUUUGUUGAUGUAGAGGUAUUUUUGGUUCAAAAUUCUAAUAGAUAUUUUUAUCUAUUCAUAACGGAUAGUAGUAGGUACUAGGUACAUAUAAUAACUGCAGGGCUCGUAACUUAUUCAUACACCAAAAAACGCAUAAAUAAGUAUGCAUUCAUGCACUAAAAAUUGUCAAAAUAUGAACUGAAAAGUUCGAAAAUAUUCAUUUAUACGGCCAUUUAACAUUU
rnacentral:lncRNA from 1 species